rnacentral:tRNA from 1 species
GCUUCCGUGGUGUAGUUGGUUAUCACGUAUGCUUCACAUGCGUGUGUUCGCAUAAGGUCUCCGGUUCGAUCCCGGACGGAAGCA